AUUGAACGCUGGCGGCAGGCCUAACACAUGCAAGUCGAGCGGUAGCACGGGAGAGCUUGCUCUCUGGGUGACGAGCGGCGGACGGGUGAGUAAUGUCUGGGAAACUGCCUGAUGGAGGGGGAUAACUACUGGAAACGGUAGCUAAUACCGCAUGAUGUCGCAAGACCAAAGUGGGGGACCUUCGGGCCUCACGCCAUCGGAUGUGCCCAGAUGGGAUUAGCUAGUAGGUGGGGUAAUGGCUCACCUAGGCGACGAUCCCUAGCUGGUCUGAGAGGAUGACCAGCCACACUGGAACUGAGACACGGUCCAGACUCCUACGGGAGGCAGCAGUGGGGAAUAUUGCACAAUGGGCGCAAGCCUGAUGCAGCCAUGCCGCGUGUGUGAAGAAGGCCUUAGGGUUGUAAAGCACUUUCAGCGAGGAGGAAGGCGUUGUAGUUAAUAGCUGCAACGAUUGACGUUACUCGCAGAAGAAGCACCGGCUAACUCCGUGCCAGCAGCCGCGGUAAUACGGAGGGUGCAAGCGUUAAUCGGAAUUACUGGGCGUAAAGCGCACGCAGGCGGUUUGUUAAGUCAGAUGUGAAAUCCCCGAGCUUAACUUGGGAACUGCAUUUGAAACUGGCAAGCUAGAGUCUUGUAGAGGGGGGUAGAAUUCCAGGUGUAGCGGUGAAAUGCGUAGAGAUCUGGAGGAAUACCGGUGGCGAAGGCGGCCCCCUGGACAAAGACUGACGCUCAGGUGCGAAAGCGUGGGGAGCAAACAGGAUUAGAUACCCUGGUAGUCCACGCUGUAAACGAUGUCGACUUGGAGGUUGUGCCCUUGAGGCGUGGCUUCCGGAGCUAACGCGUUAAGUCGACCGCCUGGGGAGUACGGCCGCAAGGUUAAAACUCAAAUGAAUUGACGGGGGCCCGCACAAGCGGUGGAGCAUGUGGUUUAAUUCGAUGCAACGCGAAGAACCUUACCUACUCUUGACAUCCAGAGAAUUCGCUAGAGAUAGCUUAGUGCCUUCGGGAACUCUGAGACAGGUGCUGCAUGGCUGUCGUCAGCUCGUGUUGUGAAAUGUUGGGUUAAGUCCCGCAACGAGCGCAACCCUUAUCCUUUGUUGCCAGCACGUCAUGGUGGGAACUCAAAGGAGACUGCCGGUGAUAAACCGGAGGAAGGUGGGGAUGACGUCAAGUCAUCACGGCCCUUACGAGUAGGGCUACACACGUGCUACAAUGGCGUAUACAAAGAGAAGCGAACUCGCGAGAGCAAGCGGACCUCAUAAAGUACGUCGUAGUCCGGAUUGAAGUCUGCAACUCGACUCCAUGAAGUCGGAAUCGCUAGUAAUCGUAGAUCAGAAUGCUACGGUGAAUACGUUCCCGGGCCU
rnacentral:rRNA from 1 species